UAAUUAUUAAACAUUUUGACGAUAGAAACACUAAGAAAGCUAUUUACUGCGUCUAAGAAAAUAUUUGUUGGUUUUAGCCUCUUUUGGGAUAAAAUGGGUAUAAGUGUUGUCUAAACAUUCCUAAUCCAUCUCUAACUCUUAUAAUUAGUCGAAUGCAUUGGAUUGUGAUACCUUUUGACCAUAAAAACACUAACAAAGUUAUUUACAGCUUCUAAGCAAUAUUUUGUUGGUUAUAGCUUCUUUGGGAGAAAAUGGGUAUAAGUGUUGUCUAAACACUCCUAAUCCAUCUCUAACUCUUAUAAUUAGUCAAAUGCAUUGGAUUGUGACACAUUUUGACCAUAGAAACGCUAACAAAUCUAUUGACCGCUUCUAAGCAAGUUUUGUUGGUUUUAGUCUCUUUUGGGAGGAAAUGGGUUAUAAGUGUUAUCUAAAACACUUCUUGUCCAUCCCUAACUCUUAUAAUUAAUCAAUUGCAAAUUUUUGUUGGUUUUAGCCUCUUUUGGGAGAAAAUGGGUAUAAUUGUUGUCUAAACACUCCUAAUCCAUCUCUAACUCUUAUAAUUAGUCGAAUGCAUUGGAUUGUGAUACAUCUUGACCAUAAAAACACUAACAAAGUUAUUUACUACUUCUAAGCAAUAUUUUGUUGGUUAUAGCUUCUUUUGUGAGUAAAUGGGUAUAAGUGUUGUCUAAACACUCCUAAUCCAUCGCUAGCUCUUAUAAUUAGUCAAAUGCAUUGGAUUGUGACACAUUUUGACCAUAGAAACACUAACAAAUCUAUUGAGUUGUUCUAAGCAAGUUUUGUUGGUUUUAACCUCUUCUAGGAGGAAAUGGGUAUAAGUGUUGUCUAAACACUUCUUAUCCAUCUCUAACUCUUACAAUUAGUCAAUUGCAUUGGAUUGUGACACAUUUUGACCAUAGAAACACUAACAAAACUAUUUACUGCGUCUAAGCAAAUGUUUGUUGGUUAUAGCUUCUUUUGGGAGAAAAUGGGUAUAAGUGUUCUCUAAACACUCCUAAUCCAUCUCUUACUCUUAUAAUUAGUCAAAUGCAUUGGAUUGUGACACAUUUUGACCAUAGAAACACUAACAAAUCUAUUGACCGCUUCUAAGCAAGUUUUGUUGGUUUUAGCCUCUUUUGGGAGGAAAUGAGUUAUAAGUGUUAUCUAAACACUUCUUGUCCAUCCCUAACAAUUAUAAUUAAUCAAUUGCAAAUUUUUGUUGGUUUUAGCCUCUUUUGGGAGAAAAUGGGUAUAAUUGUUGUCUAAACACUCCUAAUCCAUCUCUAACUCUUAUAAUUAGUCGAAUGCAUUGGAUUGUGAUACAUCUUGACCAUAAAAACACUAACAAAGUUAUUUAUUGCUUCUAAGCAAUAUUUUGUUGGUUAUAGCUUCUUUUGUGAGUAAAUGGGUAUAAGUGUUGUCUAAACACUCCUAAUCCAUCGCUAGCUCUUAUAAUUAGUCAAAUGCAUUGGAUUGGGACACAUUUUGACCAUAGAAACACUAACAAAUCUAUUGAGUUGUUCUAAGCAAGUUUUGUUGGUUUUAACCUCUUCUAGGAGGAAAUGGGUAUAAGUGUUGUCUAAACACUUCUUAUCCAUCUCUAACUCUUACAAUUAGUCAAUUGCAUUGGAUUGUGACACAUUUUGACCAUAGAAACACUAACAAAACUAUUUACUGCGUCUAAGCAAAUGUUUGUUGGUUAUAGCUUCUUUUGGGAGAAAAUGGGUAUAAGUGUUCUCUAAACACUCCUAAUCCAUCUCUUACUCUUAUAAUUAGUCAAAUGCAUUGGAUUGUGACACAUUUUGACCAUAGAAACACUAACAAAUCUAUUGACCGCUUCUAAGCAAGUUUUGUUGGUUUUAGCCUCUUUUGGGAGGAAAUGGGUUAUAAGUGUUAUCUAAAACACUUCUUGUCCAUCCCUAACUCUUAUAAUUAAUCAAUUGCAAAUUUUUGUUGGUUUUAGCCUCUUUUGGGAGAAAAUGGGUAUAAUUGUUGUCUAAACACUCCUAAUCCAUCUCUAACUCUUAUAAUUAGUCGAAUGCAUUGGAUUGUGAUACAUCUUGACCAUAAAAACACUAACAAAGUUAUUUACUACUUCUAAGCAAUAUUUUGUUGGUUAUAGCUUCUUUUGUGAGUAAAUGGGUAUAAGUGUUGUCUAAACACUCCUAAUCCAUCGCUAGCUCUUAUAAUUAGUCAAAUGCAUUGGAUUGUGACACAUUUUGACCAUAGAAACACUAACAAAUCUAUUGAGUUGUUCUAAGCAAGUUUUGUUGGUUUUAACCUCUUCUAGGAGGAAAUGGGUAUAAGUGUUGUCUAAACACUUCUUAUCCAUCUCUAACUCUUACAAUUAGUCAAUUGCAUUGGAUUGUGACACAUUUUGACCAUAGAAACACUAACAAAACUAUUGACCGCUUCUAAGCAAGUUUUGUUGGUUUUAGCCUCUUUUGGGAGGAAAUGAGUUAUAAGUGUUAUCUAAACACUUCUUGUCCAUCCCUAACAAUUAUAAUUAAUCAAUUGCAAAUUUUUGUUGGUUUUAGCCUCUUUUGGGAGAAAAUGGGUAUAAUUGUUGUCUAAACACUCCUAAUCCAUCUCUAACUCUUAUAAUUAGUCAAAUGCAUUGGAUUGUGACACAUUUUGACCAUAGAAACACUAACAAAUCUAUUGACCGCUUCUAAGCAAGUUUUGUUGGUUUUAGCCUCUUUUGGGAGGAAAUGAGUUAUAAGUGUUAUCUAAACACUUCUUGUCCAUCCCUAACAAUUAUAAUUAAUCAAUUGCAAAUUUUUGUUGGUUUUAGCCUCUUUUGGGAGAAAAUGGGUAUAAUUGUUGUCUAAACACUCCUAAUCCAUCUCUAACUCUUAUAAUUAGUCGAAUGCAUUGGAUUGUGAUACAUCUUGACCAUAAAAACACUAACAAAGUUAUUUAUUGCUUCUAAGCAAUAUUUUGUUGGUUAUAGCUUCUUUUGUGAGUAAAUGGGUAUAAGUGUUGUCUAAACACUCCUAAUCCAUCGCUAGCUCUUAUAAUUAGUCAAAUGCAUUGGAUUGGGACACAUUUUGACCAUAGAAACACUAACAAAUCUAUUGAGUUGUUCUAAGCAAGUUUUGUUGGUUUUAACCUCUUCUAGGAGGAAAUGGGUAUAAGUGUUGUCUAAACACUUCUUAUCCAUCUCUAACUCUUACAAUUAGUCAAUUGCAUUGGAUUGUGACACAUUUUGACCAUAGAAACACUAACAAAACUAUUUACUGCGUCUAAGCAAAUGUUUGUUGGUUAUAGCUUCUUUUGGGAGAAAAUGGGUAUAAGUGUUCUCUAAACACUCCUAAUCCAUCUCUUACUCUUAUAAUUAGUCAAAUGCAUUGGAUUGUGACACAUUUUGACCAUAGAAACACUAACAAAUCUAUUGACCGCUUCUAAGCAAGUUUUGUUGGUUUUAGCCUCUUUUGGGAGGAAAUGGGUUAUAAGUGUUAUCUAAACACUUCUUGUCCAUCCCUAACUCUUAUAAUUAAUCAAUUGCAAAUUUUUGUUGGUUUUAGCCUCUUUUGGAAGAAAAUGGGUAUAAUUGUUGUCUAAACACUCCUAAUCCAUCUCUAACUCUUAUAAUUAGUCGAAUGCAUUGGAUUGUGAUACAUCUUGACCAUAAAAACACUAACAAAGUUAUUUAUUGCUUCUAAGCAAUAUUUUGUUGGUUAUAGCUUU
rnacentral:sRNA from 1 species